rnacentral:rRNA from 1 species
UACGUAGGGCGCAAGCGUUGUCCGGAAUUAUUGGGCGUAAAGAGCUCGUAGGCGGCCUGUUGCGUCCGCUGUGAAAUCCCGGGGCUCAACCCCGGGCGUGCAGUGGAUACGGGCUGGCUGGAGGCAGGCAGGGGAGAGUGGAAUUCCCGGUGUAGCGGUGAAAUGCGCAGAUAUCGGGAGGAACACCGGUGGCGAAGGCGGCUCUCUGGAACGCAACUGACGCUGAGACGCGAAAGCGUGGGGAGCAAACAGG